GCUAAUACCGCAUAACGUCGCAAGACCAAAGUGGGGGACCUUCGGGCCUCACGCCAUCGGAUGAACCCAGAUGGGAUUAGCUAGUAGGUGAGGUAACGGCUCACCUAGGCGACGAUCCCUAGCUGGUCUGAGAGGAUGACCAGCCACACUGGAACUGAGACACGGUCCAGACUCCUACGGGAGGCAGCAGUGGGGAAUAUUGCACAAUGGGGGAAACCCUGAUGCAGCCAUGCCGCGUGUGUGAAGAAGGCCUUCGGGUUGUAAAGCACUUUCAGCGGGGAGGAAGGCGACAAGGUUAAUAACCUUGUCGAUUGACGUUACCCGCAGAAGAAGCACCGGCUAACUCCGUGCCAGCAGCCGCGGUAAUACGGAGGGUGCAAGCGUUAAUCGGAAUGACUGGGCGUAAAGCGCACGCAGGCGGUCUGUUAAGUUGGAUGUGAAAUCCCCGGGCUUAACCUGGGA
rnacentral:rRNA from 1 species